UACGUAGGGCGCAAGCGUUACCCGGAAUUAUUGGGCGUAAAGAGCUCGUAGGCGGUUUGUCGCGUCUGCCGUGAAAGUCCGGGGCUCAACUCCGGAUCUGCGGUGGGUACGGGCAGACUAGAGUGAUGUAGGGGAGACUGGAAUUCCUGGUGUAGCGGUGAAAUGCGCAGAUAUCAGGAGGAACACCGAUGGCGAAGGCAGGUCUCUGGGCAUUAACUGACGCUGAGGAGCGAAAGCAUGGGGAGCGAACAGG
rnacentral:rRNA from 1 species